rnacentral:rRNA from 1 species
UACAGAGGUCUCAAGCGUUGUUCGGAUUCAUUGGGCGUAAAGGGCGCGUAGGCUGCGGGGCAAGUCGGGUGUGAAAUCUCAGAGCUCAACUCUGAAACUGCACUCGAUACUGCUUUGCUUGAGGACUGGAGAGGAGAUUGGAAUUCACGGUGUAGCAGUGAAAUGCGUAGAUAUCGUGAGGAAGACCAGUGGCGAAGGCGGAUCUCUGGACAGUUCCUGACGCUGAGGCGCGAAGGCCAGGGAGGCAAACAGG